UGCGGUUGUAAGCUUGUUAUUCGUUUCUAGAUAUUUAUUUAUAAAACCAGUGAUCCAUAUGUUAUUUUAGAAGGGAAUGUUUAUAGUAACUUAAAGCGCUGCAUUGUACUGCCAUCUGGCGGUAAGAAACGGUGCAGCACUCUCAAGAAGCACGAAGGCGUAUUGACUGCAUAACACCUCAUCAAUAAACAAUGCUAAUAGCAUCAUUGUAAUCCCAUUAUGAACUGAAUAUAGAGACGCAAGAAGAACGGGUUGGGCUUGGUUGUCUGCUGUGCCUCACUUUGGUUUGACACAUGCCAUCAGCACGACUCGGUCAUGUGACCAGUGGACCCUAUUCUUGACAGUUCUUGUCAGGGGUCAAAGUGCUGCUGAUAACAAACCAGACCUGCUUCUUUUUCUCUGAUGAAAGGACACAGCGCAAGAGUCAGGGUCUGCCGCGUUUGAGCCGGUUGCUAAAUGUGAUGCAAUCACGUGCAACCCGUCAGUCUUCCAUUUACUCUAAUACUGAUCAUCAUAAGCCCCAUGAAGGGAUGAGUGGCUGCAUGGUCCAAAGAGCAAUCUGGACGGAUUAGUGAGUAGAUCCUCCCAGCAUCAGCUCUCUUUCCCCUCACCUGGUCCUCCACGCCCAUCUCUCCUGCAGCACAUCCUCUCAUCAGCGCCUCACUCUUUAGGCCCUCCACUCGCACCUGUUCGCUGCCAGAUUGUCUCGGGUGUUCCUUCCAACUGCUCCCUGUUUGGAUUUCUUUGCCUCAGCGACUGAUCUGUUGCUUGCAUACCAAGUAAACGGAACCAUCCUUUUA